GAUUUGCUGUCCCUAUCUCUCUGUCCUCAUGGCUGACCCACCAAUCAAAUUUUGACACAUCAUUAAAAUUUCAAGUGUCAAAAAUUUAGUGGGACAUGGUUUUCUUUUAUGACACUGGUAUAUGUCCCACUAAAAUUUUGGCACUUAAAAAAAUCAUAAUGAAGUGUCAAAAUUUGAUGGGUGGGGCAGCCAUGGAGAUGGAGAAAACAGGUU
rnacentral:miRNA from 1 species